rnacentral:rRNA from 1 species
GAAAAUGACGGGCAAUUUGUACAUAUUAUUAUUAAUCAAAUUAAAAAUUUAAUUUAAUUUUACUAUUAAAUCCAAUUUCAAUUUAAACUUAAAUUUAAACUCCAAUAAUAUAAUUAAUUGUAACUCACUUAAUCUAAUUAAAAUCUACAUUUUGAUUUGAAUUACUAUAUAUUUUUUAUAUCUCAACUAUACAUUUUAAUAUAAUUUUAAACAACAAUACAUAAAAUAUAAUUAGUUUAUCUAUUCGUGGAUUAUCAAUUAAUAAACAGUUCCUCUAAUUUAAUAUUAAUACCGCCAAAUUUAAUAAUUUUAAAUUUAUUAAACUUAUUCAUUUAAUUAAAUAUUAAUUUAAAUUAAUAGGGUAUCUAAUCCUAUUCACUAAACUUAACUUUACUAUUUUAAUCAUCUAUGAUUAAUUUAACAAAAUAUAUUAACUAUUUCACCACAAUAUAUUCUAUAAAAUAAACUCACUCUAAUUAAUAAUACUUCAAUAUAAUUAACUAAAUUAAUUAUUAUCUA